GCGCCGGUUAACUACUAUUUGCUGCACAUUACAGGCAGUUUAUAUGAAUGACUCUGACGGUGAACAUUGUAUAAUUUAACCAAAAAUACACCGUCUCCUCUCACACUUUAGACAUUGCAGUUUUUACGCUUUUAGACGCCAUGUCUAAAUUGUUUGAAGUCCAGUUCCUAUUAAUUAGUUUACCGCGUUCAGUGGUGGAAGCGGCUGACGAACUCCAUUGCAAAUGUUCCCAUUUAAUUUCGGACGCUAAUUUACAAGAUAAAGUUAAGGAUGUCGAAUAUGAAACAAACACUCGUGAAUGGUGAGGAGCAGCUCUUUAAUUCGGCAUGAAUAAAAAAAAACCCACAAACUCGAUUUACUGUGAUAUUGUGAGAUUUGUUUGUGGUUAUGUAACUUAGCCAUUCAACAGAGUCCGCUAACAUUAAAGUGACUGACGUGCAGUGUCUGUGUUGACAGACGUAGAAAAUACGUCAGGGUUUUGUUUAGGUUGUUAAUAUGUAAUAGUCUGUCGCUACUUUUGAAGGUAAAAAAAUACUUGUAGUUUGCUGGCUGUUAGUUCCGCCAUUUGUUUUGUUUGCUGUUUGUGCUUUAUUAGAACAGGGUCACGUGAAUAAAAAGUUUUGCUAUUUUUAA